CCUUCCUCUCCCUCCUCUACGCAGCGCACGCCUGGCUUGCCUCUCUUGUGCGCUGAGCUCCCUGGUGUUUUCUCCUCUCCAGUGCCGCGCCCUGGCUUCUCUCUCCCUCCAUCUCUCUCUAGCGCGCGCUCUUCUUCCUCCCCGCGCUGUGCGUCCGGUUGAGUUUUUCCCCAGCCGCAGUCGAGCUCCCAGCCUGUGCGCUCUGCUUCUCCUUGCUGAGCGCCGCUCGCCCAGCCAUCUCCCAUGGCGCUUGGCUUCCUCCCUCCCUCCCCAAAGCUCCGAGCUCCUCCCUCACCCUGGUCCCGGUCCUCGGCGCGCCUGCUCCCUGGAGCUCGCCCAUGCCGCUCGCUCCUCCGUGCCGGCGUUCUCUGCUCGACCAUGGCGUGGACAGCCACCGAGCCCCCUCCACCCGUCUUCCCUCUGUUCAGAGCGCCGUCACCUAAAGUCCUUACGCGCUCCCUCUCCGCCCGGCCAUGGAACUCGCCCCUGGCUCGGAUUCCAGCGCCCCGCUCCCUGUUUGCCCCAGCUAGCCUGGCCGCUGCGUAGCCCCAUCAGCUUCUCCUCCCUCAGCUCGUCUCUCUGCCCGCGCGCGUCCUUCCCAUGGCUGUCUGCUAGAGCUGCUCCUUGCGCUCGUCUGACCGCCGAAUCUGCUCCUCCAUUUAAGGUCUGCGCAGGUCCGACCAUGGAACUCUCUGCGUCGCGCUCGGUCCUGCCUUUCUUGCCACGCUCUGAUUCUGUCUCCUUGCGCGCACUCUCAGAUUCCGUCUCCCUCGCGCGUCCCUGUACCAUACUUGUCCCCAGCCCUCGCGCUGGCUCGCCUCGUCGCCGAAUUCCAGAACCCGCACCGUCGCUCAGCUCGCCCAAAUUCUGGCCAUGAUUCCCGUCACGCCCUGUGUGCUCGACUUUGUCUUGUCGCAAAACCCCAACGUCGUCGAGCCUCGCUGCCCAGUCGAAGUCCCCUGCGCGCAGCCGUGGAUUUCUCUACGCAGCGUUCCUGCUCCCCGGCCUCCGUCGUGCUCGACAUCAUGUAAUUCAUGUCGAAGCAGUAGCUGCGAUCCCUUGCGUCGCGCUUGUCAGAUCGAGUCUCGCGUCGUCGAUUUGUGCAGAUCCUGUUCGGCCAUCGGUUUCGCCGGUUGUCGAUUUCCUAUUCGCCAUGGUUAUCACAUCGGCUGUUCCUAUCAGAGCUAGUCCAGCUCACCAGUCGUCGCGCCCUCUUUACCCGUUGAGCCGUGUGUUGCCGCGUUCACCUCGUUGUGUUGUCGAGGCUUUAUCGGCGUACUGCUGUGGUACUUGGAUCAUGCUCACCUCAACUCAAACGAGUCGUACUGCUAUCAUCAUCGUCAAAUGGAAAUUGUCACGCUGGCACGUCGAUAUCGUCGAUCACCAUCCUCGUCUACGCCAAGUCCCAAGCCGUGAAGACGCUCUUGUGCUGGCCACGCAUCACUAGCUCGACAAAAAGGAAUUCCAUGAGUAUCUGGUCAAAAGUAGAAGUUGUGUGCAUCGUUCGCCAGACAUGUGUGAUCGAAGAUAUCAACCGAAAACCGUCAUCGUGCUUCCGACUAUCUCGUCGAAUUAGUCAGGGUACGUUAAUUAAUCGCGUGAUGCGGAAGACAAGCCAAGUCAACCCCAAGCGCGAGCUACUCCGCAUGGUGAUGCUGA